GGGUGGUAAUGCCGGAUGUUCCACAUGAUCGCAUGUGAUUGUGGGAAAGAUUCUAUCGGCGUGGGAUGGGGUCGCGUCCUAUCAGCUUGUUGGUGAGGUAACGGCUCACCAAGGCUUCGACGGGUAGCCGGCCUGAGAGGGCGACCGGCCACAUUGGGACUGAGAUACGGCCCAGACUCCUACGGGAGGCAGCAGUGGGGAAUAUUGCACAAUGGGCGCAAGCCUGAUGCAGCGACGCCGCGUGAGGGAUGGAGGCCUUCGGGUUGUAAACCUCUUUUGUUUGGGAGCAAGCCUUCGGGUGAGUGUACCUUUCGAAUAAGCGCCGGCUAACUACGUGCCAGCAGCCGCGGUAAUACGUAGGGCGCAAGCGUUAUCCGGAUUUAUUGGGCGUAAAGGGCUCGUAGGCGGCUCGUCGCGUCCGGUGUGAAAGUCCAUCGCUUAACGGUGGAUCUGCGCCGGGUACGGGCGGGCUGGAGUGCGGUAGGGGAGACUGGAAUUCCCGGUGUAACGGUGGAAUGUGUAGAUAUCGGAAAAGAACACCA
rnacentral:rRNA from 1 species